UUUGUGCUUCUCUUAGAUUAAUAAAUUUUACCUUUUUUUAUGUUUUUUCAUCUUCAUCUUCAUCUUCCUCUUGAAGAGAGUGAGAGUGAGACAGAAUCUGUAGGAUAUAUAUACAUAUAAAUCGUCAGAAUAAUUCUGAAUAAUUCUGAACAAUUCUCAAGUUGAAGUUGGACAAAGGAAAGGAUAAGUUGAAGUGAACCUCUGUUUAACCAAAUUUGUUUAAUGUCCAACAAUUGAAUCUUCAACAUUGAUUAAUCACUGUAAAUUGUUGACAAUUGCGUUAAUUAAAUCAAAUUAAAUUGUGUCUCUGGAAUGUAAACAUUUUGGACUAAACAAUUGGACAAAAUUUUGUGAUUUAAAAUAUUCCUCUUCAGUUUCAUUGUUAAUCAACUUUUGCGAGAUAAUUAACUGAUUGUGUGUUACACCCGUGUCUGUGUGUGUGUCCAACCUGAUUAUGGGUUCAUCACUGGUCAUCUCUUUGAGAAGGGUUAACCCAUGUUUAGGUUGCGCUAUUACCGUCUAUGCGAUCCUUUUAAUGGUCACUCUCUUUACACCUGGUACAGUUGGUGGGGUUGCUCGGUGUUUUAAUAUAUGCCAGCGAUCCGAGUUUGAAAUGAAAUGUCGACGUUGCCGAUGGCGAGAACCUUUACGAUUUGGUAAACGAAAUGGUGAUCUGGAGUCGGAUUAUAUUCACUCGAAAGGUUCCUUCAUUUCUUCCCCUUCUUGGACUAAUCCAUCAUCGGAUGAUGAUAAAUUUAAUCAAUUAUCAACUAAUCAUCAAAGAUCAUCAUUACCAAUCUCCUCUUCAUCUACAUCAUCAAUUUCAUCUUCACUGUUACCUUCAAAGCAAAAUCAACUUUUACUUCAAUAUUUAUUGACUGAUGUGUUUAACAAUCAACCGAUGACAAGUUUAAUUGAAACUUGGAGUGAUAAUAAUAAUGUUAAUAAUGUUGAUAAUGUUGACAAUUUAAACAUUGAUAAGAGUGAUAAUAGGCAGUUAAUACACGAUUAAAUUGCUCAUCUGAGCUUCUGGGUUCUUUUCAUUAAGAAUUUUUUCUCGUUUUCUUCAUUUUCUGUGUUAAUCUUAUUCACAAUAUUUGCUUCAAAACAAAUGUAACAAUCCUGUUAAUCUGUAAUCUCAUUUUAACCUUUUCAACAUUUUAUCAUUAAAAUGCUAUCAUCAUCUGUUUAACCCUUUA